rnacentral:rRNA from 1 species
AUUGAACGCUGGCGGAAUGCUUUACACAUGCAAGUCGAACGGCAGCACGGACUUCGGUCUGGUGGCGAGUGGCGAACGGGUGAGUAAUGUAUCGGAACGUGCCCAGUCGUGGGGGAUAACGUAGUGAAAACUACGCUAAUACCGCAUACGAUCUAUGGAUGAAAGCGGGGGAUCGCAAGACCUCGCGCGAUUGGAGCGGCCGAUAUCAGAUUAGGUAGUUGGUGGGGUAAAGGCCCACCAAGCCAACGAUCUGUAGCUGGUCUGAGAGGACGACCAGCCACACUGGAACUGAGACACGGUCCAGACUCCUACGGGAGGCAGCAGUGGGGAAUUUUGGACAAUGGGCGAAAGCCUGAUCCAGCCAUUCCGCGUGCAGGAUGAAGGCCCUCGGGUUGUAAACUGCUUUUGUACAGAACGAAAAGGUUUCUACUAAUACUAGGAGCUCAUGACGGUACUGUAAAAAUAAGCACCGGCUAACUACGUGCCAGCAGCCGCCGUAA